rnacentral:rRNA from 1 species
UCCUGGCUCAGGAUGAACGCUAGCUACAGGCUUAACACAUGCAAGUCGAGGGGAAACGACAUCGAAAGCUUGCUUUUGAUGGGCGUCGACCGGCGCACGGGUGAGUAACGCGUAUCCAACCUGCCCACCACUUGGGGAUAACCUUGCGAAAGUAAGACUAAUACCCAAUGACGUCUCUAGAAGACAUCUGAAAGAGAUUAAAGAUUUAUCGGUGAUGGAUGGGGAUGCGUCUGAUUAGCUUGUUGGCGGGGUAACGGCCCACCAAGGCGACGAUCAGUAGGGGUUCUGAGAGGAAGGUCCCCCACAUUGGAACUGAGACACGGUCCAAACUCCUACGGGAGGCAGCAGUGAGGAAUAUUGGUCAAUGGACGAGAGUCUGAACCAGCCAAGUAGCGUGCAGGAUGACGGCCCUAUGGGUUGUAAACUGCUUUUAUAAGGGAAUAAAGUGAGUCUCGUGAGACUCUUUGCAUGUACCUUAUGAAUAAGGACCGGCUAAUUCCGUGCCAGCAGCCGCGGUAAUACGGAAGGUCCGGGCGUUAUCCGGAUUUAUUGGGUUUAAAGGGAGCGUAGGCCGGAGAUUAAGCGUGUUGUGAAAUGUAGACGCUCAACGUCUGCACUGCAGCGCGAACUGGUUUCCUUGAGUACGCACAAAGUGGGCGGAAUUCGUGGUGUAGCGGUGAAAUGCUUAGAUAUCACGAAGAACUCCGAUUGCGAAGGCAGCUCACUGGAGCGCAACUGACGCUGAAGCUCGAAAGUGCGGGUAUCGAACAGGAUUAGAUACCCUGGUAGUCCGCACGGUAAACGAUGGAUGCCCGCUGUUGGUCUGAAUAGGUCAGCGGCCAAGCGAAAGCAUUAAGCAUCCCACCUGGGGAGUACGCCGGCAA